rnacentral:rRNA from 1 species
ACGUAGGGUGCAAGCGUUGUCCGGAAUUACUGGGUGUAAAGGGAGCGCAGGCGGACCGGCAAGUUGGAAGUGAAAUCUAUGGGCUCAACCCAUAAAUUGCUUUCAAAACUGCUGGCCUUGAGUAGUGCAGAGGUAGGUGGAAUUCCCGGUGUAGCGGUGGAAUGCGUAGAUAUCGGGAGGAACACCAGUGGCGAAGGCGACCUACUGGGCACCAACUGACGCUGAGGCUCGAAAGCAUGGGUAGCAAACAGG